rnacentral:rRNA from 14 species
GACGGAAAGACCCCGUGCACCUUUACUAUAGCUUCGCAUUGGCAUCAGGCACAGUAUGUGCAGGAUAGGUGGUAGGCUUUGAAGCAGGGACGCCAGUCUCUGUGGAGCUUCCCUUGAGAUACCACCCUUAUUCUGCUUGAUGUCUAACCGCGGCCCGUUAUCCGGGUCCGGGACCCUGCGUGGUGGGUAGUUUGACUGGGGCGGUCGCCUCCCAAAUUGUAACGGAGGCGCGCGAAGGUUGGCUCAGAGCGGUC